AUGAUUCGGCCUCCCUCCAAUCGAUGCCACCCUAAAAUACAACAAAGCACCCGCUUCAAUCCAUAUUUCAAGGAUUGUGUUGGAGCAAUUGAUGGAACUCAUGUGCUUGCUAGAGUCCCAAGAAGGAUCUCGGCUGCCUUUAGGGGUAGAAAAGAAGGGACUACCCAAAAUGUCAUGGCCGCGGUAGACUUUGAUCUAAAGUUUACCUACGUACUUGCGGGGUGGGAGGGUUCAGCCCAUGAUGCCCUUAUACUUGCAAAUGCAUUGGAGAGGGAUGAUGGGUUGAAAGUUCCUACAGGUAAUAAACUAGACUCGGAAAUUUUACCUUGU
rnacentral:rRNA from 1 species